UGGUUCAGUGGUAGAACCCUUGUCUGCCACAUAGGAGACCUGGGCUAGAUUCCCAG
rfam:Alligator mississippiensis ScZkoYb_15, whole genome shotgun sequence.